rnacentral:rRNA from 1 species
UACGUAGGGGGCGAGCGUUGUCCGGAAUCAUUGGGCGUAAAGAGCUCGUAGGUGGCCAACUAAGUCAGACGUGAAAUCCCCAGGCUCAACUUGGGAACUGCGUCUGAUACUGGAUGGCUUGAAUCCGGGAGAGGGAUGCAGAAUUCCAGGUGUAGCGGUGAAAUGCGUAGAUAUCUGGAGGAAUACCGGUGGCGAAGGCAGGUCUCUGGGCAUUAACUGACGCUGAGGAGCGAAAGCAUGGGGAGCGGACAGG